rnacentral:rRNA from 1 species
GUGAACGCUGGCGGCGUGCCUAAUCCAUGCAAGUCGAGCGAACAGACGAGGAGCUUGCUCCUCUGACGUUAGCGGCGGACGGGUGAGUAACACGUGGAUAACCUACCUAUAAGACUGGGAUAACUUCGGGAAACCGGAGCUAAUACCGGAUAAUAUAUUGAACCGCAUGGUUCAAUAGUGAAAGACGGUUUUGCUGUCACUUAUAGAUGGAUCCGCGCCGCAUUAGCUAGUUGGUAAGGUAACGGCUUACCAAGGCGACGAUGCGUAGCCGACCUGAGAGGGUGAUCGGCCACACUGGAACUGAGACACGGUCCAGACUCCUACGGGAGGCAGCAGUAGGGAAUCUUCCGCAAUGGGCGAAAGCCUGACGGAGCAACGCCGCGUGAGUGAUGAAGGUCUUCGGAUCGUAAAACUCUGUUAUUAGGGAAGAACAAAUGUGUAAGUAACUAUGCACGUCUUGACGGUACCUAAUCAGAAAGCCACGGCUAACUACGUG